GUUAGGAAUCUUCCACAAUGGGGGCAACCCUGAUGGAGCAACACCGCGUGCUGGAUGAAGGCCUUCGGGUCGUAAACAGCUUUUGUAUACGAAGAAUAUGACGGUAAUAUACGAAUAAGGGUCGGCUAACUACGUGCCAGCAGCCGCGGUCAUACGUAGGACCCAAGCGUUAUCCGGAGUGACUGGGCGUAAAGAGUUGCGUAGGCAGCUUAUUAAGCGAGUAGUGAAAUCUGGUGGCUCAACCAUCAACACAUUGCUCGAACUGAUAGGCUUGAGAAUGGUAGAGGUAGUUGGAAUUUCUUGUGUAGGAGUGAAAUCCGUAGAUAUAAGAAGGAACACCAAUGGCGUAGGCAGACUACUGGACCAUUUCUGACGCUGAGGCACGAAAGCGUGGGGAGCGAACCGGAUUAGAUACCCUUGUAGUCC
rnacentral:rRNA from 1 species